UAACAGAGGGUGGCAAGCGUUAAUCGGAAUUACUGGGCGUAAAGCGUGCGUAGACGGUUGCGUAAGUCAGAAUGUGGAAAGCCCCGGGCUCAACCUGGGAAUUGCAUUUGAAGACUGCGUAGCUUAGGGUGCGGAAGAGGGAAGCGGAAUUUCCGGUGUAGCGGUGGAAAUGACGUAGAUAUCGGAAGGAACACCAGUGGCGAAAGCGGCUUCCUGGUCCAGCACCGACGUCAGGCACGAAAGCGUGGGGAGCAAACAGGGA
rnacentral:rRNA from 1 species